GACGAACGCUGGCGGCGUGCCUAAUUCAUGCAAGUAGGACGCAGUUGCGAACGGGUGAGUAACGCGUAGGUAACUGCCUAUUAGAGGGGGAUAACUAUUGGAAACGAUAGCUAAUACCGCAUACUAGUAGAUGGACCUGCGUUGUAUUAGCUAGUAGGUAUGGGAAUGGCCUACCUAGGCGACGAUACAUAGCCGACCUGGUAGGGUGAUCGGCCAAACUGGGAAUGAGAAACGGCCCAGAAUCCUACGGGAGGCAGCAGUAGGGAAUCUUCGGCAAUGGGGGGAAACCUGACCGAGCAACGCCGCGUGGGGGAAGAAGGUUUUCGGAUCUUAAAGCUCUGUUGUUAAGUAAGCGGGACUUAACCAGAAAGGGACGGCUAACGACGUGCCAGCAGCCGCGGUAAUUC
rnacentral:rRNA from 1 species